AAGAGUCAGCGUCAAAUCCACCACUACCUGAGUCCUGGACUCGAGUGCUACUACACUGGUUACAACACACAUCAGCCAGAGACCCUGCGGCCUGUGACAGGCACAGUCAAGCCUUUAGUUUAGUUUGGCGUCAUGCCAAUUUGAAAGGACUGUUAAUCUCCCCACUCAGCUGGUUCAACCUGCCAUCACACUGACCCAGAACAGGAAUAUAAAUGUCCUUCUACCUCUGUAACCGGUCUUUAUUCCACUAACAAUGUGUAAAUGUUUUUCCUUAUCUACUGCUCAUAGCAUGAGUGAAUCUUUGACCUCUUGGUUAAGUAAAUUGACUACAAUUCCUUUUACUUCACUUACACAUCAAAGAUGUGUUUUUUAUUGAUCAAAGAUGCAAGAUUGUGCUAGAUGGGCAGAUUAUCUUGGCAUUGACAGAGAGGGUUUAUUAUGCUGGAUUUUAUUAGCUAGGAAAUUAAAUCAUGUUGGUCUGUAACAAAGAUUAUAAACAUUAUGAAAGUAAAAAUCAUGAAAUGCAGAAUUUACUCUAUAGGAAUUCGUUCUACCUUUGUAUCAUUGCAGAACAAGUUCCUUCACUCAUGGCCUGCAUGUACUGGACCCCAAAAGGGAUCAAUUACAUUUUUUUUUAUUUUUAAAUAUGCAGUUAUUUUGCAAUGUGAAUAGUUCAGAAAUGUUUUGAAGUUAAUGGAGGAAAACUCGAUAAGCUAGCCUAAUUACGAUAUCACAGAAGUACAUUAGGUCAGCUUUCUCGGUGGAGCAGUACAGGAGCCUUAUUGAGCUGCUGUCAUGUGGCAAUUGUCAUGAAAGCCAAAGGUGUUUCAAGUUUUAUGUCUCGGUGGGUCGUAUUGUUAGGCGCGUCUCCCUCUUUUGCGUUUGCAGGUCCCGGCUGCUCGCCCCUUUGAAGAAGCACGGGUUUGGCUGGUGGCCGGUCGUUCCACCACAGCUCUGCCCCUUGGUGUCCUGGGGGGCGUGUCGGUGUGCAGUGGAGUGGUGGCAUCAGGGGUGGAGUUGCGCUCCGUGGCGUUGGCUAUCCUCUCCAGGCUGCGGCUGAUGGAGAGCAGGAGGGGGUACGUGCGGCUCUCCAUCCUGCGGAGGCGCGUGUCCAGGCCACGGCGCAGAGCUCCCACCUCCCUCUGCAGCACCUCCAGACCCUCGCGCUGCACCUCCAGCAGCUCCUGCUCCCACCGCCUCCGCGACGGACACGGAGCACCCGUGGUGCUCGAGGCUGCUGGGGGACUGACUGAAACUCCGGCGGUCCCGCUGUUUGCUCCAGCUACAGGACUCUCAGAUGGUGUUGGUGUGCGUGUCGCUGAGGCGUUUGCAGCAGGCGCUGGCAGACUUGGUGGGGCCGCAGCGAGCACGGUUGAUGGCGGCUGCCACCUCUUCCCACGCCUGCCGCCGAUCCGAGAACCGCGGAGGGUGCUGUCUGUCACCGAAAAGCCUGUGGUAGCGGGCCUUGAUCUCGCGCAGGAGGAUGUCCAUCUGCUCCUUCGUGAAGUGGUUUCGGCUCUGGGGUUUAAACUCCCUCUGCAGCAUCUCCAGGCUCCUCUGGCGGACCUCCAGGGGCUCCCGAGACUGGCUGGGGACACCCACGGUACUCGAGGGGUCUUGACUGGGCCCACCCACGGUACCCAAGGGGUCUUGACUGGGAACAUCCAUGGUGUUAAAGAGAGCAAAGGGGUGGAGAGAUGCUCCACCGUUUCCACCAUCCGCUGUUCCAGCUACAGGUCUCUCAGAAGGCGAAGAUCUCUCGACACACAGACUUGGGUAUAAAGUGCAGACAUCACCC
ensembl:lncRNA